UUUACAAGGUCAUCAUCAAGCACAUCAGGUUCUUCAGCUGUUGGUUUGGAAUCGUACAUAAGAUCAGAAAUCCCGGUAGCAACCGCUGGAUCGCUUAAACCAGCUGAUGCACUGAUAUUGUGCCGCGUGCGGUAUAUGUCAAUCAGUUUGCACUGUCAUAAGAUUGCAAACGGGAAUUAAAUAAGAAAUAAGGGUAGAAAUAAGGUGAAACCAUAUGGACAAGUAAUCACACUCAUAUAUACAUGAAUCCUCUCAUCAAAUUUUAGAUCAAACAAUUAUUGAGUCAUUAACACAAAGAAAUGAUUUGUGCAGAGAAAAUAGUUGUAAAUUACCCUCACUCUUGAAUAAUGCUUACACUCCUUAGAAUGCUUAGUCAAGGAUCAUAAUAAAAUUUUCUUCUAUAUUCACCUCAUAAGUAUAUGGAUAACUAGUUUCAUAGUUACUUAACUAUAUAAAUAAUUAUAUCCUAAUUGUAUCAUGCUAAAUAUUUUAUUUAAGAUUAAAAGGUUUCACAACGGAAUUUUUUUGCAUGUAUACAUUUUUUUCUGAUGCUUCCACCAAUUCUUCAAAACUUGGACUACAAAUAUUUCCACCAACAUCGACAACAAGCUUGGUUAAUUGGCAUGCCAGUUUUGCAUGAGAAGAAAGGGCAUGGGAGUAAUGGGAAGAACAAAAGCUCAAUAAAGGGUCUACUUGCUGCAAAAUUGUGCCAAAAAUGAUAUUGGCUGUUUUAAAAGUUAACCAAAAUUGUGCAUAAUGAAACAAAGAGACGAGACAAAAAAGAGAAAACUCAAGUGAACCAUGUUUCAUGUUUGAGUAAAGCACUGAUCCAAAAGGCAGACAUUAUUCUUCUGGGAAUUUUCUAAAUGACAAUUGCAUCUCCAAUUUUGGAACAAACUUUAUGUAUAAAAAAAGAAGACUUCUUACUCCUCUUAUUCUUUCAAAUACAACACAAACUAAUCAUCAAAGCACAGUAAGUGACUCUGUACCUCACGGGCCCCAAAGGCAGAUACUUCGCUCUAGGAACAUAACAAAACAGUGAAACAAGAUCAAGCAACCUUUCAUGAGUUUCAUAUAAUUUCUUAAGUUCUUCAUCUGUCCACUCCUUAUUAGCAUUGUCAUGGUUGCGUAUUUCCCUGAUUGCGCAACAACAAACUAACGUGAAUACUAAAAUUUGAAACAUGUUAGGAAGAAAUUUCUUUUAUCACUUUUCUUUUCUUCGGGUAAAUUUUGUAUCACUUACUUAAUCAAAUCAUCUUGUGCUCUAUACAUCUCAUCAAGAACGUUUAUCAUGGGACUAAUUAAAACUCCAAGACCUGUGCCACUAGCUCCUUGAUCUUCCCCAUUACUGAGAUGCAUCUCAGAAAAUUGGGACUGAACUCCCCCCUGUGCUAACGUGUGCAAAAGUUCAUAAAUCUGUAGCCUAAACGGCUCACCAGACCUUAUUGCCAUAGUUGUAAGAGCUUGAGCAGCAAUAAUUCGAACCUGAAGAACCCAACAGGACCAACAAUAUGUAAGAAUCAAACAAGCAGCUGGUGAGUUCACAUGUCAACAAAUUUGUUUGUACACAAAUACUAAUGUGAAAGAAGUUUAAAAAUAUUGUAGAAUUAAGAAACAAGAUCCCGCAGAAAACUGUUUUACUCCUGCAUCCAUAACAAUGUUUUAACUACCAUUCCCAUCGUUCCAAUGCUUUCGAAAUCAUCCCUACACAGAUCAGUACAAUCCUUAACUGUGAUUGCCAGACCCAUGCUAGUAAGGGCAGGUUGACCAAAACUUGUAUUUAAUUCACCCUCUUAUCAUUCUAAGAUAGAGCCAAUAACAAACGACAAAUGGUUGACACUGAGUUGGAGGUUAAUACCUCCCAGCUGCCGCUGAACGCACACCUCUGAAGCCUAGUCAAUGCACCAGCAAGAGUAGGAUUACGAGAACUGGCAGCAGCAACCAUUUUAUCUGCAUCUAACAUCAUCAAUGCAGUACCAGGAGGGGUUGCAGAUUCCCAAGCAUAUUCAGAAGCAGCAUAAUUUGCAUUUUCUCCAAGAAACCAUACCUAACAAUGCAAUUACUCAGCAAUAAAGAGAAAACGAAAUAAUAAAGAACCAACUGAUUAAACAAAUGCUUACUGCUGCUUGUACUAAUCUCUGUAAUGCAAGAGCUGACUUUGGAUCGGAUGCAGAUACCAUGUCUACCGAUGUGAGGCCCAACAUUGACCCAGGUUGUGGUGGUGGUAAAUCAAGAACUAUGGUAACCGCUUCUAAUGCAGUGUGUUUCCCAUCCGGACCAGCUCCAACAAGACAGGUCUGAAAUUGCAAAUGGUCCAUAGUAACAAUCAAUCAAAACAAUCACAUAUACAAGGAUGUCAAUGACCUAAUAAACAGUGCUUCUACUGAAGAUUUCAGUAUAAGCAAGUUGUUAAAGGAAAAGGAUACCAAGGAUAACUAAUGUAAAAUGGAGACAGUCUUUCAACUCUUCAAGAGGUAGAAGAGGGUACUAAAUCCAAAAGGUUGACUGAAAACAGAGAAACAGAACUGGGCUAGAGAAAAAGUACAAGACCUAGCAAAGUAUAAAAUACAGAAAAAUAAAGGGAAAGGGAAAGAAUAACAUUCAGGUUUACAAUAUGAACAACAUAAACAAGGUUCAGUUCCACUCCACUUCUUUCUUGAGAAGAAACAUUUUUCGGCACAAACUCUGAUGUUACAAGUGGUGGACAAGAGUCCAGUCUUAAGUACAAAAAACAACCACCAGAGCAUGCCAACCAUUCUCACUACCUAAACACCUAACCAACUGCCUUUCAAUCCAACAAAACAGAUUAAAGAUUUACACAGCUAAAAGCACCUCACACAGAUGCCCAGUUCCAGUUCAUGGAACCCAUCUAUUUUUUCAUAAAAAAAAAAUAACAAAGAACACUAGCUAUAACCCAUUUAAUAAUAAUGGGCCCUGGCUAUAAUAACUAACUCCGCCACAUGCUACCUUGCACUGCAAUAUCAUUGCUACGGUGGUUACCAGGUUAUCAGACUAAAUCAUUAAGAAAGGAAAAUAGAAAGAAAAUCCUCACUUAACAAGUCUGUAACUGUAAGAAUGGACUGAAUGGUAUGCCUCUCACUUAGGUUCAAUUUUUUUGAGAUGAAACACAAACUUUAUUAAGAACAAUCUGUACAAAGAGUGGGGUUGCACCAGAAGUCCAUUUUAAUAUUUGAAGUAUAUGUUAAACUAACUCCGCCACAUGCUACCUUGCACUGCAAUAUCAUUGCUAUGGUGGUUACCAGGUUACCAGACUAAAUCAUUAUGAAAGGAAAAUAGAAAGAUAAUCCUCACUUAACAAGUCUGUAACUGUAAGAAUGGACUGAAUGGUAUGCCUCUCACUUAGGUUCAAUUUUUUUGAGAUGAAACACAAACUUUAUUAAGAACAAUCUGUACAAAGAGUGGGGUUGCACCAGAAGUCCAUUUUAAUAUUUGAAGUAUCUGUUAAACUACUUAAAAGAAAAACCUCGAAACAAAGAAGAAAAAACAGAGUAUUCCAAGUUCUUAACUGAAAUUAGCACACAGUAGACUUCCAAUCUCACUACAUAUGUUAGAGAAAGAAAGGUCCUUAUAUUCUGAUGUAACCGCCUACUUGAAUAAUCCAACUCAGUUUACCUCUCUACACAACUCCAUCACAAAUUUAAGGCUAAUAGACAAUGCAGGGGGUAUAUAAUCUGCAAUUUCCCUGAAGGAGUCAUUUAUUAAAAGAAAAAAAGAAGGUACCCACCAUAUCAUCAUACGCCACUCAAGCCCAUAAAAGUAAAAACAAACAUGAAAAUAAAAAAGUACGGAAUAUAACUUACUGACUAGUCACAUAAGCAAGCAACGGACAAACAUGCGGAACCAUAGACUUUACAAUAAGGAAUGCAAGAAAAGGACAAGACAUAGAGAAUUACAUUUUAGAGAGAUAAGAACUACAUAUAGUGAGGUUUAAAGGAAUUUACCUUCCACAGUAGCUGUAAUACAUCAGCAUCAAUCUUGCCUGGAACUUUAGUUGCAAAGAUCCUUGCGAUUUCAAGAAGAGUUACAGCCAUAUCUGGAGUUGCCUAAGAGAACAAAUUAAGAACUUUUUUAGACUUGGUAACUGGCAUGCACAACACUAAAGAAAUUAAACAAAACCCUAACGUGGGAAAUUUGGCAAUAGUCAUCAUAGAGAUCUUUGUCCAUUAUCGAUUCUACUGCCAGUAAGAUUAAUUGGACAUGGUAUGGUUAACCCCCCUUCCCAACAUCCCAUCCAAGUGCUCCAUACUUUUAUUUUCAAAGUUGAGUAAAACAAAAUAUAGUCUAAAAUGCAAAAUCCAACAGACAGAUAAAUUUGAUGAUUUCGUGGUCAUGUAUGGACCUGAUGGUCUUCUGAUCUCCUUUGAUUUCAGCUUUUGUUCUCUUUGAUUUUUUCUUGUUUAAAAUUAACACAUCAAAAUGAUAUUCUUAACACAGCCUUGUACCUUUUUCAAUAAAUUUUCCAAAAACUAACGUCUAUUUUCUUUAUUUUGUAGAAAAGAUCCAACUUUUUAAGUGGUCCGCCCCAACCUUCCCAACCAAGGGUCCAGUUCUCAUCAUCAAAAGAACAAGAUACAGUAAUGUACAACCAAAAACAUUACAAUUAAAACAAAAGCUUUUUACUCUUUAGACGCAAACUACCAUGAUAAGCAGCAGGAAACAAGAUGAAAUAAGUUAAAAUAUGCAGGCUUAUAUACGUUAAAAUCAGAUUUUGGCCAUAUACCUUUCCUCCUAUUAUCGUCUGAUUGGGGAGCAGCAGUUGGCUAGAAUUGGGUGAGAAUUAUCUUUAGUGUUUGGAUUUAUAUAUAUAUGUACAUUGUUUCUCCUACACAUAUCGACUUCCAAACAAAUGCCAUUUACAAUCAAAUACUUUCUUGUUAACUACAUACCUUAAAACGAGCAUGCAAAGUGAGUAAAAUGUCAUUCAAAAGAGUAGCUGGCCAAGAUGGAUCAGAAAGCUCUGAUGCAAUAAUAGAUUCUAGUUGAUCAAACGAAUCAUGGGGGCUUUGCAUCCAGAUCAGUGCCUUAAUUACCAUUGCCCGAACAUAAACACACUCACACGCCACAGUUGUCCUCACAACUUCCAUCAACGAAGCUAACAAACUAGCAAUUGUAUCCUUUCCACCUACUCCAGCAGAUAAAGAAGUUCUGCGAAUACCUAUGUGAAAAGAAAAAGAAAAAGAACAGAUAAAUAACUUCUACGGGUUUCUUAUCCUUUAAAAAGAAAACAUUAACAGGUUUUAGGACAUCGCAUUCAGUGGAUUUGCUUUUUUUUUUUUUUUUCUUUGAGCAUUUGUAUUGGCAAUCCACAACACAAAUAUAUAAUAUUUAACUUGCUGUUGUUCCUCAACAACCACAGCAAAGAGACAACAUAACUUUAUCAGUUCUCCACUGCCUCUGUACAUUUGUUCAAUAAUAAAACAAAAGAAAAAGUCCAACACCAAAAAGUCUUACUAGUCACUCCAAAAAGAACCCACACCUUAGUUUUCCAUUAAUGAUAAUUUCAGCUCAAAUGUAUUGCAACAAAAAUGAAAUAUUUCCAGUGACAAAUAAAGCUGCAUAAUCAACACCACAUACAUAUCUCAAAAGACCAUUCAUUUUUUAUGCUGCCAAGAAUUAAUAAAGAUGCUAUGGAAGACAUGAAGCAGCAACUAAAAGGUUGAAGGAUUCUUGUCAAAAAUAAAAUGUAAAAAGAAUUACUUUCAGGAUGUGAGGUUUCAUUGCUAUCCGAAUCCUGUGAAUCGAGAGUCUCGGAAAAUGUAUUAACAUGCACCGUUUCAUCUAUAUCCUGAAUGCCGACAGAAAAUGCAGCAGCCCGACUUUUCCCCAUCUCCUGCACAACUCUUGCUGCGGCAUGGAGUACUGGCCUAGAGAAACUGCGGAAAGAACUCUCCAACCUGAAAAGACCCGAUGGAUUAAAACAAUCUCAUUUGAAAACCUGAGAAACCAGACUCCUGUAUAUGAAAAUCUGCUUCGAAAACAACCUUAAUUUUUAGCUCCUUUUGAUAUCAAAAUGAACGAGACAGACAGACAGAGAUAAAAAAAUCCUUAAACCUUCUCAUUACAAGUUUAAUAAGCGGUUGUGGACGCCUUGUCUUCUGAGAUUUAUCUUUAGAGGAAUCUUUUACGGAAGGUGCUUCUGGCAACUUGAGAAUUUCCCUAGUUAAUCGGUACCAUCCAGCGGCUCGCUCUUCAGAACUACAUUAUGGAAGGGUAAGCUAAAAAAUUUAUAUAUAAACAAAUGUAAGAAAACUGAUAUCCAAGUAAAUGAGGAGGUGGGUAGAGCACUAGUUAUACAACCACCUACCAUCCACUAUAACUAUGAAGUAACAAAAUAUAAAAGGAAGGUAUAAACACCUCUCUGCGUUAUCGUGUUUUCCUAAUAUACAUAAGAUUGCCUCAAAACAGACUCUUUCACUGGGAUCCAGGAGAAGUUGAUAAAGCACAGAAUUGAACUGAGAUCUAAUAUCAGGCCUCUCUGUAGACGUAACAUUAAAAAAAAACAUAUAGCAUAAAUCAUACAACUUGUCAGAAAACAAAUGCAUCAAAUAGAGAAAAAAAAUGAAGAAUCAUCAUGUAGAGUUACCAUCCAAAGCUCGUGCUCUAGAAAUUGUAUAGCACAACCUCGCUAGAGCAACUCUAGCAAG
rnacentral:lncRNA from 1 species